CACUUUCGCCAGAGAUGAUAAUGACAGUAUCUGGUAAAGAAACCCCGGCUAACUCCGUGCCAGCAGCCGCGGUAAUACGGAGGGGGUUAGCGUUGUUCGGAAUUACUGGGCGUAAAGCGCACGUAGGCGGAUUAGUAAGUUAGAGGUGAAAUCCCAGGGCUCAACCCUGGAACUGCCUUUAAUACUGCUAGUCUUGAGUUCGAGAGAGGUAAGUGGAAUUCCGAGUGUAGAGGUGAAAUUCGUAGAUAUUCGGAGGAACACCAGUGGCGAAGGCGGCUUACUGGCUCGAUACUGACGCUGAGGUGCGAAAGUGUGGGGAGCAAACAGGAUUAGAUACCCUGGUAGUCCACACCGUAAACGAUGAAUGCCAGACGUCAGCAAGUAUACUUGUUGGUGUCACACCUAACGGAUUAAGCAUUCCGCCUGGGGAGUACGGUCGCAAGAUUAAAACUCAAAUGAAUUGAC
rnacentral:rRNA from 1 species